rnacentral:rRNA from 1 species
GCUGGCGGCAGCUACCAUGCAGUCGAGCGGUAACAGAUCCAGCUUGCUGGAUGCUGACGAGCGGCGGACGGGUGAGUAAUGCAUAGGAAUCUGCCCGAUAGUGGGGGAUAACCUGGGGAAACCCAGGCUAAUACCGCAUACGUCCUACGGGAGAAAGGGGGCUUCGGCUCCCGCUAUCGGAUGAGCCUAUGUCGGAUUAGCUAGUUGGUGAGGUAACGGCUCACCAAGGCCACGAUCCGUAGCUGGUCUGAGAGGAUGAUCAGCCACAUCGGGACUGAGACACGGCCCGAACUCCUACGGGAGGCAGCAGUGGGGAAUAUUGGACAAUGGGGGGAACCCUGAUCCAGCCAUGCCGCGUGUGUGAAGAAGGCCCUCGGGUUGUAAAGCACUUUCAGCGAGGAAGAACGCCUAGCGGUUAAUACCCGCUAGGAAAGACAUCACUCGCAGAAGAAGCACCGGCUAACUCCGUGCCAGCAGCCGCGGUAAUACGGAGGGUGCAAGCGUUAAUCGGAAUUACUGGGCGUAAAGCGCGCGUAGGUGGCUUGAUAAGCCGGUUGUGAAAGCCCCGGGCUCAACCUGGGAACGGCAUCCGGAACUGUCAAGCUAGAGUGCAGGAGAGGAAGGUAGAAUUCCCGGUGUAGCGGUGAAAUGCGUAGAGAUCGGGAGGAAUACCAGUGGCGAAGGCGGCCUUCUGGACUGACACUGACACUGAGGUGCGAAAGCGUGGGUAGCAAACAGGAUUAGUCCC